GGGGGUGAACGGUCUCGACUCCGGAUGCGGAUCGAGGGGAAGCGUGCCGAGGAAGGCGACGAUGAUCUCGUUAACCACCCGUCGCAAAAAAAUAAGUGCCGCUAAUACGCGCACUGUCCCGGCUCAGGCCGAGUUCGCACUCGCCGCCUGAUCCAGUGAGGGACUGUCGGUCCGGGUGCGUUCCCGACCCGGGGUCCGGCAUCAGCUAGGGGACUCACCCGUUCGUCCGGUCGCGGGGCGGACGGGGACAACAAACAGCGACUGGGAUCGUCACACCGGCUCGUCCGCGUGACCGGUGGAUCCGAGUAGAGGCACAGCGGACUGCGCACGGAGAAGCCCUCGCGAAGCAACGGAGGACCCGGGUUCGAUUCCCGGCACCUCCACCC
rnacentral:tmRNA from 1 species